UGAAGAGUUUUCUCCAACACCACAACUCGAAAGCAUCAACUCUUUGGCACUCAGCCUUCUUUAUGGUUCAACUGUGAUAUCCAUACAUGCUACUGGAAAAACCACAGCUUUGACUCUACGGACCUUUGACUGGAGUAGGAGAAUGCACGAGGAGGAGAGUACAAGCAAGUGGAACUCAGUUCAUCUGAUGAUCUGCCCACAUCCGCUGAGUCACUCCUAAUGGCCCCUCAGAUGUCAUUUUCUUACUAAGACAUUUGGAAAAAUUUCUGCCUGUGAAUCAGAAGCAAACAUUGUAAUUCACCAGUCUUCUCUAAGUUAUGCAAGGAACUUUGAUGUGCUCAGAAGUGGAAGCUCAGGGCGGAUGAAAUCAAUGAAUUCUCUGAGAACUUUGUUUUUCUCCUACUUGAGGUUCGUUUGCCAAGUGGAGGAUGCAAAGAGCUCCGUCUGACCACUGGAGUCACCUCUGCAGGAAGUCUGGGAGCAGCUGAUGUGGGGUUUCUUGAUGACACUGGUUUUCCUUAUCAUCUUGGUCCUGUUCCCAUAAUAGACCCGAGUGUCAUCCAGGAAGGGGCUUUCUGCCACAGCGUCGUGUCGAGGGCUGUUCCUCACAACGAAGGGCUGGCCUGAGGGUGCUUAAUCAUCUCCAGGGUCCUCGGGUGUGUGGGGUCGCGCCCGGCAUGCAGGGGACGCCUGCCCUCUGCCCCCCCGGAGCUCAGUUCAGGCCCUAUCCCUGUCACCUGCCUUUGUCACAGCCCUUCUCGGGGGAGAAGAUGGCUUUGUCACUCAUCAUGGAUGGUCGCUUUAAAUCCCUUGCUGUGCUUUAGGGCAAGGGGUCACCUUCUGCCUGGCAGAAGUGCAGACCUUUGGUCACCCAGGGGGGGCCUGUUCACCUGUGAGUCAGGAAGGGGGCACUCCCAGGGGCCUGAGAAAGCCACUGUGUCUUCAUCGCCUCACUGGCUCUCGAUGACCCGGCAGCCAGAGGGCCGCGUGUUCCCCAGGGGAGCAGGUACCUUCAUAAAUGACAAAGGGGCAGAGAUGGGCUGGUGUCAGCCCCGCUGCGUGUCCUGCCUCUUGGUGCUCCCCGACAUGCUAACUCCUGCGCCCUCAGCAGCUCAGGCCAGACACACAGUAGGCGCUCAGGACCCAGGCCCGGGAGACAGUGGCGUCUACACAGUCAGUUGCAUCGCUGCCUUCCAUCAUGUGAAGCUGACUCGAAAAACACUGCCUCUGCAA